UUUGCCAGCUUCAGAUAGGCAAAAUCAACAGUUACUAUUUAUUUUACAGCCGAACUAUUCCAUAUGCUAUACAACAAUAUCAUAGCUAGAAUUGCAUGGGAGUUAGAAAGUACCGUACAGGGGGUUGGAUGAGGAGACGGGUACAUAUAACGUGGGGUACGUCUAAUAUAACAACAUGGAUGUGAGGUUUGGGCAUGGUCAACCAAAACCCUUUGAAUGCAACAACAUGAUACAAACCAUCAAAUUUAUAUGAGUGUACGUUCCAUGCCACAUGAACAAUAUAGAAUAUAAACUUGGAAAUGUAAUUUACCAAUAUAAUCAUUUACAAAGACAAUGACUUCUACGGUUGGGGAGAGACGGUGACGUAAUUAAUGGAAUAAAUGUCCAAUAAUGGCUUACAACUACUCCAUAUUAAAGAGUAGGAGGAAGCCACGUAAACAGGUGGAGUUAGUAAAUAUAUUUUUACUGUGUGGAGUUAAACAAGUGGUGUAAAUUAGUAGUUGUAUCAAUAAAUGUUGUAUUCCAUCUACUUAUCAAUAUAAGUCCAUCCGAAGAAACUCAAAGCAAAGAGGUGAAGAAAUAUAAACCAUAAUCUAAUGUCAACCCCAAUCUUUCGUAAACUAAACUCAAAUUUCGAAAUACAAGUAAUAUGCAUUUCCAUUCUAC
rnacentral:lncRNA from 1 species